UACGGGGGGUGCAAGCGUUGUUCGGAAUCACUGGGUGUAAAGGGUGUGUAGGCGGGUCGGUAAGUCGGAUGUGAAAACUCCCAGCUUAACUGGGAGCCGGCAUUCGAAACUGCCGGUCUUGAGUAAGGGAGAGGAAGAUGGAAUUCCCGGUGUAGCGGUGAAAUGCGUAGAUACCGGGAGGAACACCGGUGGCGAAGGCGGUCUUCUGGCCCUUCACUGACGCUGAAACACGAAGGCUAGGGUAGCAAACAGG
rnacentral:rRNA from 1 species